rnacentral:rRNA from 1 species
AUACGUAGGUGACAAGCGUUAUCCGGAUUUACUGGGCGUAAAGGGCGUGUAGGCGGUCUUGCAAGUCAGAAGUGAAAUUCCUGAGCUCAACUCGGGCGCUGCUUCUGAAACUGCAGGACUUGAGUGCUGGAGGGGAUAGCGGAAUUCCUAGUGGAGCGGUAAAAUGCGCAGAUAUUAGGAAGAACACCGGUGGCGAAGGCGGCUAUCUGGACAGUAACGGACGCUGAGGCGCGAAAGCGUGGGGAGCAAACAGGAUUAGAUACCCUGGUAGGCCACGCCGUAAACGAUGAAUACUAGGUGUAGGGGGUAUCGACUCCCUCUGUGCCGCAGUUAACACAAUAAGUAUUCCGCCUGGGGAGUACGGCCGCAAGGUUGAAACUCAAAUGAAUUGACGGGG